CCUACGGGAGGCAGCAGUGGGGAAUCUUGCGCAAUGGGCGAAAGCCUGACGCAGCAACGCCGCGUGCGGGAAGAAGGCUUUCGGGCUGUAAACCGCUUUCAGCAGGAACGAAAAUGACGGUACCUGCAGAAGAAGGAGCGGCCAACUAUGUGCCAGCAGCCGCGGUGAUACAUAGGCUUCAAGCGUUGUCCGGAUUUAUUGGGCGUAAAGAGUUCGUAGGCGGUCGAGUAAGUCGGGUGUGAAAAUUCUGGGCUCAACCCAGAGACGCCACCCGAUACUGCUUAACUUGAGUUCGAUAGGGGAGUGGGGAAUUCCUAGUGUAGCGGUGAAAUGCGCAGAUAUUAGGAGGAACACCGGUGGCGAAGGCGCCACUCUGGAUCGAUACUGACGCUGAGGAACGAAAGCAUGGGUAGCAAACAGGAUUAGAUACCCUGGUAGUCCAUGCCGUAAACGGUGGGCACUAGGUGUGGGAUUCUAUUAACGAAUUCCGCGCCGUCGCUAACGCAUUAAGUGCCCCGCCUGGGGGAGGUACGGUCGCGAGACGAAACGUACGAAGAAGUAAGUAGUACGUUGNGAGAGCGACGACGACGACGACGGAGGGAGGAG
rnacentral:rRNA from 1 species